rnacentral:rRNA from 1 species
UACGAAGGGGGCUAGCGUUGCUCGGAAUCACUGGGCGUAGAGGGCGCGUAGGCGGCGUUUUAAGUCGGGGGUGAAAGCCUGUGGCUCAACCACAGAAUGGCCUUCGAUACUGGGACGCUUGAGUAUGGUAGAGGUUGGUGGAACUGCGAGUGUAGAGGUGAAAUUCGUAGAUAUUCGCAAGAACACCGGUGGCGAAGGCGGCCAACUGGACCAUUACUGACGCUGAGGCGCGAAAGCGUGGGGAGCAAACAGG